AUUGAACGCUGGCGGCAUGCUUUACACAUGCAAGUCGAACGGCAGCGCGGGCUUCGGCCUGGCGGCGAGUGGCGAACGGGUGAGUAAUGCAUCGGAACGUGCCCAGUAGUGGGGGAUAGCCCGGCGAAAGCCGGAUUAAUACCGCAUACGACCUGAGGGUGAAAGCGGGGGGCCGAAAGACCUCGCGCUAUUGGAGCGGCCUAUGUCGGAUUAGCUAGUUGGUGGGGUAAAGGCUUACCAAGGCGACGAUCCGUAGCUGGUCUGAGAGGACGACCAGCCACACUGGGACUGAGACACGGCCCAGACUCCUACGGGAGGCAGCAGUGGGGAAUUUUGGACAAUGGGGGCAAGCCUGAUCCAGCCAUGCCGCGUGCGGGAAGAAGGCCUUCGGGUUGUAAACCGCUUUUGUUCGGGAAGAAAGCCUGUGGGCUAAUACCCCGGGGGGAUGACGGUACCGGAAGAAUAAGCACCGGCUAACUACGUG
rnacentral:rRNA from 1 species